rnacentral:rRNA from 1 species
CCAAUAGCGUAUAUUAAAGUUGUUGCAGUUUAAAAGCCCGUAGUUGAAUUUCGGGAUCAGUACGCUGGUCAUGCCUUUGGUAUGCACUGGUGUCACUGGUUUCUCCCUUCUGAAGAACCGUGAUGUCAUUAAUUUGGUGUCGCGGGGAAUCAGGACUGUUACUUUGAAAAAAUUAGAGUGUUUAAAGCAGGCUCACGCUUGAAUACAUUAGCAUGGAAUAAUGAAAUAGGACGUUUGACCCUAUUUUGUUGGUUUCUAGGAUCGACGUAAUGAUUAAUAGGGAUAGUUGGGGGCAUUAGUAUUCAAUUGUCAGAGGUGAAAUUCUUGGAUUUAUUGAAGACUAACUACUGCGAAAGCAUUUGCCAAGGAUGUUUUCAUUAAUCAAGAACGAAAGUUAGGGGAUCGAAGACGAUCAGAUACCGUCGUAGUCUUAACCAUAAACUAUGCCGACUAGGGAUCGGAUGAUGUUAAUUUUAUAAUGACUCAUUCGGCGCCUUACG